rnacentral:tRNA from 1 species
GCCAGCAUGGCAUGGUGGUUUGAGUGCAGGACUAUGACUCUGGAGACCAGGGUUUGAUUCCCAGGUCAGCCA